GACGUAGGGCGCGAGCGUUGUCCGGAUUUAUUGGGCGUAAAGAGCUCGUAGGCGGCUUGUUGCGUCAGUUGUGAAAACCCGCGGCUCAACCGCGGGCCUGCAGCCGAUACGGGCAGGCUAGAGUUCGGUAGGGAGACUGGAAUUCCUGGUGUAGCGGUGAAUGCGCAGAUAUCAGGAGGAACACCGAUGGCGAAGGCAGGUCUCUGGGCCGAUACUGACGCUGAGGAGCGAAAGCGUGGGAGCGAACAGG
rnacentral:rRNA from 1 species